GACGAACGCUGGCGGCGUGCUUAACACAUGCAAGUCGAACGGUGAAGCGCCUUCCUUUUUGGUGGGUGUGGAUGAGUGGCGAACGGGUGAGUAACACGUGAGUAACCUGCCCCCUUCUUCUGGAUAACCGCAUGAAAGUGUGGCUAACACGGGAUAUUCUGGGUCUGUCGCAUGAUGGGUCUGGGAAAGAUAUUGUUUCGGUGGGGGAUGGGCUCGCGGCCUAUCAGCUUGUUGGUGGGGUGAUGGCCUACCAAGGCGGUGACGGGUAGCCGGCCUGAGAGGGUGGACGGUCACACUGGGACUGAGACACGGCCCAGACUCCUACGGGAGGCAGCAGUGGGGAAUAUUGCACAAUGGGCGCAAGCCUGAUGCAGCGACGCCGCGUGAGGGAUGGAGGCCUUCGGGUUGUGAACCUCUUUCGCCAGUGAAGCAGGCCUGCCUCGUUUGUGGGUGGGUUGACGGUAGCUGGAUAAGAAGCGCCGGCUAACUACGUG
rnacentral:rRNA from 1 species